CGCGGCGCGCGCUGGACCUGCUGCCUCCAGGCGGAGCUCUCAGCUGCCGGUUGCAGCCACACACACUCGGCUGUCACCCUGGGAGACUGGAGUGACCCCCUGGAUCCCGAUGCUGAGACGCAGAUGGUGUAUCGGCAGCUGCUCCUGGGACGGGACCAGCUCAGG